rnacentral:lncRNA from 1 species
AUAUUGUGAUGGAGAUCACAACAUAUCUCACUACCAGAUAUAAUGGAACCUAUGGGGUCACACAUUAAGGGAUUUAAUUAUGAAUUUAUCAAUUGGACUUGAGAAGUUCUAAUUGGAUUAGGAUUUGUUGAAAUUCUAUUGGGUUUAAGAGAACUAUGCUAGCAUAUGGUUAAACCCAAUUUUUCUUUGGACUUCGAUUUCUUAUUAGAUAAAGAUUGAAUCAAGUCUAUAGCCUUGAAUCUAAUCUAAAUUUAUUUUGAUUUUGAUUUAGUUGGGCACCUAUUUGAGGGCCCAAGAGGAUUGGAUUAAGUCAAUGAGUUGGCAAACUUAUCUCCUCAUUUUUUCAUUAUUUUUUUAUGUGGUGAGGAUUAAUCGGAAAGAAGAGAGGAGGUGCAAGCCUCCCCUUUUUUGGAAAGUCCAAAGGGUGCCAACCCCUUGUAGUGGCAUGAGAAAGAGAGAGGAGCCCACCCCCUCUUUUGCCUUGGUGUGGAAGGAGAGAAAGAGAGGGGCUACACCCCCUCUCUUAUGUGCAAAACCCUAGAAGGGGCACCAAGAGUUGGUGCCCUAACUACUUGCCCCUUUGGAUUUGGGGUCCCUACUCAGUCUACCUAUUUUUGAGUGAGGCACCUCAUCUACUUACCAAAAGAGGUGAAGACCAUACCAAUUAAGUCUGAUUUUCUUGAAAAAUAAUCAAAUUAAAAAGGAUAAAAUUCUUAUGAGAUAAGGACUAGUCUUUUUAGAUUGAUUAGAUCUUGAUUUGGAAUCAAGAUAAGGUCUAUAUAUAAGAGAUGGCCUCCUAUGAUUUUAGAAUUAAUUGAAGGAUUGAAAAUCAGAUCUCUUCCUCUCUUCUCUCCAUGCCUCACCCUCUCUCCCUCUUCUCUUUCCAAUGCCC